UCGUGAAGCGGUACGAGAAUGUGACAUGUUUUGGUGUCGUUGGCGCAUUUGCCACUGAUGAGCGCUGGGUGUUUUGUUGUUUAAUGCUGAACCGAGCUUAGUGGACCAAGCGUUCGCGUUUGGGAACCUGUGCUCGGCUAGGCUUGUGAAUGAUAAUGCGUGUUAUAUAUACGCCUCGUGUUGUGCGUUGAGUUGAUUAUCUGUUGUUCGUGGUGCUAUGCGGUGGCAUGCGACUUGAUGGUGGUAUGAUUUCGGUGAUCGGCUUUGACGAGUUAGAGGUGAGUCCCGGUGUGAGCGUUGGUCACCUAUCCGACCCGUCUUGAAACACGGACCAAGGAGUCUGGCAUGUGCGCAAGUCACUAGUUGGUAAAUCGGAGAGGCGAAAUGAAAGUGAAAGCCGACUCGAUCGGCCGCUAUGGGAUUCGUGCUUUAUGCUUGGGCGCGACGCACCAUAGCCCCGUCUUUGUUGCUUGCAAUAGGGCGGAGGUAGAGCGUACAUGCCGGUACCCGAAAGAUGGUGAACUAUGCCUGAGCAGGAUGAAGCCAGAGGAAACUCUGGUGGAAGCUCGAAGCGGUUCUGACGUGCAAAUCGAUCGUCU
rnacentral:rRNA from 1 species